rnacentral:rRNA from 1 species
UACGUAGGCAGCAAGCGUUGUUCGGAGUUACUGGGCGUAAAGGGUGCGUAGGCGGCUUUUUAAGUUUGGUGUGAAAUCUCCCGGCUCAACUGGGAGGGUGCGCCGAAUACUGAGAGGCUAGAGUGUGGGAGCGGAAAGUGGAAUUCCUGGUGUAGCGGUGAAAUGCGUAGAUAUCAGGAGGAACACCGGUGGUGUAAACGGCUUUCUGGACCAUAACUGACGCUGAGGCACGAAAGCGUGGGUAGCAAACAGG